AGUGAACGCUGGCGGUAGGCCUAACACAUGCAAGUCGAACGGCAGCACAGUAAGAGCUUGCUCUUACGGGUGGCGAGUGGCGGACGGGUGAGGAAUACAUCGGAAUCUACUUUUUCGGGGGGGAUAACGUAGGGAAACGUACGCUAAUACCGCAUACGACCUACGGGUGAAAGCAGGGGAUCUUCGGACCUUGCGCGAUUGAAUGAGCCGAUGUCGGAUUAGCUAGUUGGCGGGGUAAAGGCCCACCAAGGCGACGAUCCGUAGCUGGUCUGAGAGGAUGAUCAGCCACCCUGGAUCUGAGACACGGUCCCGACUCCUACGGGAGGCAGCAGUGGGGACUAUUGCACAAUGGGCGCAAGCCUGAUCCAGCCCUACCGCGUGGGUGAAGAAGGCCUUCGGGUUGUAAAGCCCUUUUGUUGGGAAAGAAAAGCAGCAGGUUAAUCCCCCGCUGUUCUGACGGUACCCAAAGAAUAAGCACCGGCUAACUUCGUG
rnacentral:rRNA from 1 species